UCAAGUAAAUUAUAUUACUCAUACACCUCCGAAGUACCAGCCUUUUCAGAGUGGCUGACGUGAAUGUUUUGUCCAAAAUAUAUUCACAACAUUUGACUUAGAUCUGAUCUACUGCCAUUGAAGACUUUGUUUCCUUUCCUUUCAUGGAAUUUUAUUAUAAAGAACUGAAUUUAGGCAUUAGUUAAAAAGUAAAUUUAUAAAACACACUUUUAUAUAUCCAUAAGUUGACGAAAAUUUUCUAAGUAGGGUAGCACAAGAAAAUUACCCUGUGAUACUACUAAAAGCAGUGGUUCAAUAUGUUCUAAUUUAGUUUUGUAGAAAUUCUAUACCACAUAGCCUUUGCAAUACAGAAUUGUAUAUUCAUAUUGGUUAAAAAACACCUUAUUAAAUAUCACAAACUGAAUUAAGAAAGCCUAACUAAUGACAAAAGGGAUCAGGAUCAUUUUUAAAAGGUGAACACGAGGGAGUUCCCAUUGUGGCUCAGCAGUAAUGAACCCAACUACUGUCCAUGAGGAUGUGUGUUCAAUCCCUGGCCCUGCUCAGUGGGUUAAGGAUCUGGCAUAUAGGAAUUUGCAUUUCAGGGAUCAAACCUGCAUCAUCCUCAUGGAUAGUCAGGUUCUUAACCCACUGGUCCACAAUGGGAACACUACUUUUGCCACUUUCAAGCUUCUGAAGUUUGAGUUUUCUCCACGACUUGUUCAUUUGUUUUAUUUACCACCACUUCCACUCACUUUUAGUACUGAAGUCCCUUCUUUUCAUGUGAUUUCAUUCAGAUGCACUCACUUAGGUAUUAGCUUACAUAGAAACUCACAUCACAGGAGUUUGCCCAUCCCAGGAGAAAAGUGUGAGCAGAAUCAUCCAGGAAACAAACCCUGCCCUUCCUCCACAGCACAGUUUCUGCCCUGAAUCAAUUCUUCCUUUAUCACAGAGGUGUUACACUACCUUUAUAGAAGCUGCUUGUGACUUUACACGAAGUCAUUUAUAAUCUCAGUUCUUUUCUCACCAGGAUUUGUGGACAAGUGGGAAGUUCUGUUUUUUGUCUGAUUGGUGAGAUUGCAUUUGAACCUGGUGGUCCACUUCUCAGAAGUGUGCGUCAGUUUUGACCACCCAGAAAACUAUGGCAGCACUGAAAUUUGUGUCUUUCUCCCUCCCUGACAUUGUAUCUUCUUUGUGAAUUCUCUUUCUUUCUUUCUUUCUUGUUAAUGAUAAUAGGGAAGAAGUUAAGUCACAUGAACGUUUUUCCCUGUUUAAGAUCUGUUUCUUUUCUUACUGCACUUUCUCCUUUAAAUCCCAUUCAAUCACCUUUUUCAACGCUAAUAAAUGCAUAUUUUUACAUGAGUUUCUUGGAAUCUUACUCUUCCAACAGAAUUGCCAUCUUUGUCAUUUAUUUAUUUCUCAAAAUUGCUUCUUUGAUUUGUCCAAUGGUGCAGUCUAUGUAUAUAUUUUGUCAGACUCAAGUAAAUUCUGUUAAUCAUACACCUCUGGGUAUUGGCAUUUUCUCUGUAGCCUGUGUGAAGGUUUUGUCUAAGAUUAAAAUCAUUUGACUUAGACCUGCUUCCCUACAAGCUAAGCUUAUUUUCCUUUCCUUUCAUGGAGUUUAACUGAGAAGACCUUCACUUGGGCAUUAGCUGAAAUAGAAAUUCACAAAACACGAGGUUAUAUAUUGUCAAUGGAUGAAAAUAUUGCAGAUGGAAGAGCCCAGAAAACAUGUCCUUGUGCGCCUCUGGAAGCAGUGCUCAGGAUGCUCUAAUUUAGUUACUAUUGCUGCUUUAUAUCCUUCGGCUAUCACAAAACUCGAUUUAACUAUACAUAUUAAUUAAAUGCCAUCAAUUGUUUAAAUCUUUCAAACGAUAAUAAAUGCCUCUACUCCAAGGGAUCAAGAACAUUUUUAAAAGGUGAUUAAGAAAACUACUCUUUCUAAAUUUUUUCUCAGUGAAAUCAGUCAUUUUAUGCCCAUUUUCCAUUUGAGGAGAACACUUCUUUGGACAAAAUUGAGCUCUCGAGCACUGUAUUUGUAUAUGUUUGUGAGUGUUUGUGUGAUGAUAAGAUAUGUGUUUGCAUUGCAUGUUUGUGUUUAUACUUAUCUGCUUCCUGAUGGGUUUAAUUUAUGUAUAAAUUUUGCAUUGCAAUGAUUUUUUGUUGUAUUUCUCUUCAAUUUUCAGAAAUAUUUCAGAAAAAACAUUGGUGAAUUAUUUCUUAUAUUCUUUAGCCUCAAAAUACUUUGUAAUGAUGGUUCUUCUGUUGUCUUUAAUAUUCCCAGCCUUUUAUCAAUAUGUUAUUCAUUGGCUUACACUUCCUUGAGAUAUCUACUAUUGUAACUCAAAUUUUUGGUUACAGAAUUAACUUGUAUUUCUCUCCUGAUUUUCCUCCCUCCCCUCUUAUUUGUAGGAUAUUCUCUGAAUAGAAGAGAGCAGUCUUCAGCCAUUGUUGGUAGGUUCAUUAAAUGUGUAAAUGUCUUUGUCUGCUGCCAAUAUAUUAUAUUUUGCUUUCAUGUUUUUCAAAAAAUUAGAUUUUUAUUCAUGCUUGUUUUCAGAGGUAUUUAACUUAAUCUUUCCAUGUUAUCUUUCAGAUGAUCUCCAGGGAAAAAAUGCUAAGAGUGAACAGAAUAACGGCAAGUCCCUUUAAAUAUUUUACACCUUGUAUUUUGUCAUGUUUUGUCUGUUUCUUCACCAUGUGUCUUUGAUGCUCCACAGUAUUCUUUCUCAACUCCAACCGACCUAUAUAUAACCCUACCUCAUAAUAUUUUCAUUUCAUUGUUAUUUCAACUGAAAUUUAUCAUGUUCGUAGGUUAUUCAAUGCCCCAUUUUCCUUUGACUUACCCUAUCCUACCUAUUCAUAUGGAAAUUUCCUUUUUGUCAAAUAUAUAUUGAUACAAAUUAACUUGUAAAAAUUUUGCUAUUUUUAAAGUUCUUUGUCUAAGAUGGUUGACUCAUUUGAUUGAGAAGCCCAUUCACUGCCAAUUAACAGUUCACUUCUUUUCCUUUUCUCUGAUUUCCUGAAAGUAAGCAUCCUUGAAGAAAAGUUAGAAAUCAAACUCCCAUAAAACACAGCUAAACAUUAAUCUCCUGAAAAAUGACAUGAAGAGAGGCACCCAUCAACCUGACCUGAUCUGACCUGAAUGGUCUACAAAAGCAGUAGUUCAGGAUUCUGUAAUCCAGUGUUUGGUGAGUUUAUAUACCAAUGCUACUACCACUGUAGGAACAGUGAGUGUAUUUAUUUAGCAGAAAUCAGAUGACUUAUAAACAUGAAAAACUGAGUAAUAAAAGACUAAAUACUUUCAAAAGGAAUCAUGAAAACUUUUGUCAGGUUCAUUACCAGAAAUAAUAUUUCUCACUGUCUCAAUGGAAAAUAUGUAUUUAUUUUCCUCUCUUCAUUCAUUUAAUACCAUUCAUUUCUUAAAAGUGAGCUUUCAGAAACAGUUUGCCUGUUAGCUUGCAUAUGUUUAUUUGUCUGUGUCUGUGUUUUAUACUUGUCUGCAUCUUGACAAUUUAAUUUUGCAUACAAAUUUUUCAGUGAAUCUGAAUUUCAUUCAUUUCAUUCCAAUGAUAUUUACAUUGUAUUUUGUUUUUAUUUUACAGAUGUACUUCAGAAAAAAUAUGAUGAUCUUCAAAAGAAAGUCGCCAGUCUUCGGAAAACAAAUGGUAACAUUUCUGAUAUCCCAUCACCCCAGUGCUCUUGAGCCCCUCUGAAGCCACUGGUUCAGCCUUUCCUCUUGUCUGCCGUUUCAUCUGUUUCGCUUGUGUCGGCAUGCCUUUCUCUUGCACGUCCUGUCUACGAGCUCCACCUCAAUGUUUUGUGUGGGACUUGUCCCACGUUACUUCUGUCCAUUUCUGUUUGCCUACCUCCUCUGCUCUGCCAUUCCUUCUCUUUGCAAUGCAUGCCAUGCCCUCCCAAUAAGGACUGGCUUUGCUUCGGUCUUUCAGGCACUUGCCACAGGUUCAUGAAGUUGGUGAGAUGCAAAGCAUUACGCUGAGAGGGAGAUGGUUUCUCUUCCACGUGUGUUUCUCAAAAACAUCCAAACACAGGGGCUCUGUCGGGACUUCCAAGUCAGAGGGGCCAUUCCUGCACAAGGGAUAGCUCUUCAAAGACUUAAGAGAUGGGAGAUGGCCCCAAAACGGCUCAGUUAAUGCCCUCUGCCCACUGCCCUUUCAAAGCCUAAGUAGUAUAUGCUAUCAUCCAUCGGUCAAGAGUGUGCCAGGGCGCCCCUCUUCCACUGGCCUUCCCCCUGGGAACCAAGUAUUCCCAGGUAUGAACAUGUUACUUCAGUUUGCCUGCUGUUCUAAACAAAAGCCAGGCCUACCGGUUGUGUCAUUUUGUGUGUCUCAGAGUUCUGAAAUGUCAGUUCUCCCUGACGGAGGCUGUUGAAAAUUUAGAGCAAUCUUCAGUUCCACAUAACACAUCUUUUCGGUUCCUUUUGGGUUACUCGCUUUUAGAAUGAUUAGCUUUCCUCCCCCGAAGUUAGGUGAGAUGGCAUUACUAGCCUGUUUUGUUUUGUAAGGGCCACACCCACCGGCACAGGGACAUUCCCAGGCUAGGGGCUGAAUGGGAGCUGUAGCCGCCAGCCUACACCACAGAAGCAGCAAGGCCGGUACCAGCCACCCCUGCGAACCACACACCACAGCCCAUGGCCACGCCAGAGCCUUAACCUCCUGAGCGAGGGCCGGGAUGGAACCUGUGUCCUCCUGGAUACUCGUCCGAUUCACUUCCACUGAGCCAUGACGGGAACUCCCAGGAAAGCCUCGAGUCACAUCAAAGAAAAGAGAGAGAACAAGAGCAUGGCUUUCUGGCACCUUGCUCAUUCAAUCAUGCCAUUCGUUUCCCUCCACCAACGCAUUUUUGAAAACUGCAUUUCCCCGAAAUGCACGAGCCCGUCUCAACAUCGAUUUGAUUCCAUUUCUCUGCGCUUCGAGUAGAAAAAUGAUCUGUCGCUGAGAACGUCCUUACGACCAUGUCAGCUGACAAGAAUGGAAAGCGUAGGAUUAGAGCCUUGUCGCCCAGGUCUUUGCCUUUCUGCAGGAGACGACACCUCCAGAGGUAACUUUGAAAGCCCUCUUGACAACUACAUUAAGUGUAGCAUCGCUGUGUGCAUGCAAAGCAUUAGACACCAUCACACUUGCAAAAGCCAGUACCCAGACAUACGUCAUCCACUUGCUCAGGCACUGUGGCAUCUUCGGAAAAGACUUUUUUGGGAGUGACACGUGUGUUUCACAUGAACUACGAAAGCAGUGCUUUCACUGGAAGACAACUUGUUUAAUCUGGCAUCAUCCAAAGCAUUUGCCAAACUGAGAGAUUUAACUUUGAUCCAUGACCAAGAUAGCAAUUGUUGUCAUUUUUUUUUUUCUCUUUAAGGUGGCACCCACAGCAUUUGGAAGUUCAGGUCCAGUGACUGAAUCUGAGCCGCAGCUAUAACCGACACCACUGCUGGGGCAACGCCACAUCCUUGAACUCAUUGUGUCCAGCCAGAGCUCAAACCCGCACCUCCACUGCAACACGAGCCACUGAAGUGAGGUUCCUAACCCACCGUACCACAGUGGGAACUCCUGAAAUAACAUGACUUCAUUUUAUUAGAUAUGUCUUCUGAGUCAGAAACUCCAUGCCUGGCAUUUGUCCUCUUCUUUUUACUAUCUGUUGUGGUUUCCUUAACAUUUACAUGACUCUUUGUAAAUUCACUUUUCAGGAGAACUUCAGGAUGAAAACGCCAGUCUUCGGAAAACAAAUGGUGGCACCCACAGCAUUUGGAAGUUCAGGUCCAGUGACUGAAUCUGAGCCGCAGCUAUAACCGACACCACUGCUGGGGCAACGCCACAUCCUUGAACUCAUUGUGUCCAGCCAGAGCUCAAACCCGCACCUCCACUGCAACACGAGCCACUGAAGUGAGGUUCCUAACCCACCGUACCACAGUGGGAACUCCUGAAAUAACAUGACUUCAUUUUAUUAGAUAUGUCUUCUGAGUCAGAAACUCCAUGCCUGGCAUUUGUCCUCUUCUUUUUACUAUCUGUUGUGGUUUCCUUAACAUUUACAUGACUCUUUGUAAAUUCACUUUUCAGGAGAACUUCAGGAUGAAAACGCCAGUCUUCGGAAAACAAAUGGUGGCACCCACAGCAUUUGGAAGUUCAGGUCCAGUGACUGAAUCUGAGCCGCAGCUAUAACCGACACCACUGCUGGGGCAACGCCACAUCCUUGAACUCAUUGUGUCCAGCCAGAGCUCAAACCCGCACCUCCACUGCAACACGAGCCACUGAAGUGAGGUUCCUAACCCACCGUACCACAGUGGGAACUCCUGAAAUAACAUGACUUCAUUUUAUUAGAUAUGUCUUCUGAGUCAGAAACUCCAUGCCUGGCAUUUGUCCUCUUCUUUUUACUAUCUGUUGUGGUUUCCUUAACAUUUACAUGACUCUUUGUAAAUUCACUUUUCAGGAGAACUUCAGGAUGAAAACGCCAGUCUUCGGAAAACAAAUGGUAACAUUUCUGAUAUCCCAUCACCCCAGUGCUCUUGAGCCCCUCUGAAGCCACUGGUUCAGCCUUUCCUCUUGUCUGCCGUUUCAUCUGUUUCGCUUGUGUCGGCAUGCCUUUCUCUUGCACGUCCUGUCUACGAGCUCCACCUCAAUGUUUUGUGUGGGACUUGUCCCACGUUACUUCUGUCCAUUUCUGUUUGCCUACCUCCUCUGCUCUGCCAUUCCUUCUCUUUGCAAUGCAUGCCAUGCCCUCCCAAUAAGGACUGGCUUUGCUUCGGUCUUUCAGGCACUUGCCACAGGUUCAUGAAGUUGGUGAGAUGCAAAGCAUUACGCUGAGAGGGAGAUGGUUUCUCUUCCACGUGUGUUUCUCAAAAACAUCCAAACACAGGGGCUCUGUCGGGACUUCCAAGUCAGAGGGGCCAUUCCUGCACAAGGGAUAGCUCUUCAAAGACUUAAGAGAUGGGAGAUGGCCCCAAAACGGCUCAGUUAAUGCCCUCUGCCCACUGCCCUUUCAAAGCCUAAGUAGUAUAUGCUAUCAUCCAUCGGUCAAGAGUGUGCCAGGGCGCCCCUCUUCCACUGGCCUUCCCCCUGGGAACCAAGUAUUCCCAGGUAUGAACAUGUUACUUCAGUUUGCCUGCUGUUCUAAACAAAAGCCAGGCCUACCGGUUGUGUCAUUUUGUGUGUCUCAGAGUUCUGAAAUGUCAGUUCUCCCUGACGGAGGCUGUUGAAAAUUUAGAGCAAUCUUCAGUUCCACAUAACACAUCUUUUCGGUUCCUUUUGGGUUACUCGCUUUUAGAAUGAUUAGCUUUCCUCCCCCGAAGUUAGGUGAGAUGGCAUUACUAGCCUGUUUUGUUUUGUAAGGGCCACACCCACCGGCACAGGGACAUUCCCAGGCUAGGGGCUGAAUGGGAGCUGUAGCCGCCAGCCUACACCACAGAAGCAGCAAGGCCGGUACCAGCCACCCCUGCGAACCACACACCACAGCCCAUGGCCACGCCAGAGCCUUAACCUCCUGAGCGAGGGCCGGGAUGGAACCUGUGUCCUCCUGGAUACUCGUCCGAUUCACUUCCACUGAGCCAUGACGGGAACUCCCAGGAAAGCCUCGAGUCACAUCAAAGAAAAGAGAGAGAACAAGAGCAUGGCUUUCUGGCACCUUGCUCAUUCAAUCAUGCCAUUCGUUUCCCUCCACCAACGCAUUUUUGAAAACUGCAUUUCCCCGAAAUGCACGAGCCCGUCUCAACAUCGAUUUGAUUCCAUUUCUCUGCGCUUCGAGUAGAAAAAUGAUCUGUCGCUGAGAACGUCCUUACGACCAUGUCAGCUGACAAGAAUGGAAAGCGUAGGAUUAGAGCCUUGUCGCCCAGGUCUUUGCCUUUCUGCAGGAGACGACACCUCCAGAGGUAACUUUGAAAGCCCUCUUGACAACUACAUUAAGUGUAGCAUCGCUGUGUGCAUGCAAAGCAUUAGACACCAUCACACUUGCAAAAGCCAGUACCCAGACAUACGUCAUCCACUUGCUCAGGCACUGUGGCAUCUUCGGAAAAGACUUUUUUGGGAGUGACACGUGUGUUUCACAUGAACUACGAAAGCAGUGCUUUCACUGGAAGACAACUUGUUUAAUCUGGCAUCAUCCAAAGCAUUUGCCAAACUGAGAGAUUUAACUUUGAUCCAUGACCAAGAUAGCAAUUGUUGUCAUUUUUUUUUUUCUCUUUAAGGUGGCACCCACAGCAUUUGGAAGUUCAGGUCCAGUGACUGAAUCUGAGCCGCAGCUAUAACCGACACCACUGCUGGGGCAACGCCACAUCCUUGAACUCAUUGUGUCCAGCCAGAGCUCAAACCCGCACCUCCACUGCAACACGAGCCACUGAAGUGAGGUUCCUAACCCACCGUACCACAGUGGGAACUCCUGAAAUAACAUGACUUCAUUUUAUUAGAUAUGUCUUCUGAGUCAGAAACUCCAUGCCUGGCAUUUGUCCUCUUCUUUUUACUAUCUGUUGUGGUUUCCUUAACAUUUACAUGACUCUUUGUAAAUUCACUUUUCAGGAGAACUUCAGGAUGAAAACGCCAGUCUUCGGAAAACAAAUGGUAACAUUUCUGAUAUCCCAUCACCCCAGUGCUCUUGAGCCCCUCUGAAGCCACUGGUUCAGCCUUUCCUCUUGUCUGCCGUUUCAUCUGUUUCGCUUGUGUCGGCAUGCCUUUCUCUUGCACGUCCUGUCUACGAGCUCCACCUCAAUGUUUUGUGUGGGACUUGUCCCACGUUACUUCUGUCCAUUUCUGUUUGCCUACCUCCUCUGCUCUGCCAUUCCUUCUCUUUGCAAUGCAUGCCAUGCCCUCCCAAUAAGGACUGGCUUUGCUUCGGUCUUUCAGGCACUUGCCACAGGUUCAUGAAGUUGGUGAGAUGCAAAGCAUUACGCUGAGAGGGAGAUGGUUUCUCUUCCACGUGUGUUUCUCAAAAACAUCCAAACACAGGGGCUCUGUCGGGACUUCCAAGUCAGAGGGGCCAUUCCUGCACAAGGGAUAGCUCUUCAAAGACUUAAGAGAUGGGAGAUGGCCCCAAAACGGCUCAGUUAAUGCCCUCUGCCCACUGCCCUUUCAAAGCCUAAGUAGUAUAUGCUAUCAUCCAUCGGUCAAGAGUGUGCCAGGGCGCCCCUCUUCCACUGGCCUUCCCCCUGGGAACCAAGUAUUCCCAGGUAUGAACAUGUUACUUCAGUUUGCCUGCUGUUCUAAACAAAAGCCAGGCCUACCGGUUGUGUCAUUUUGUGUGUCUCAGAGUUCUGAAAUGUCAGUUCUCCCUGACGGAGGCUGUUGAAAAUUUAGAGCAAUCUUCAGUUCCACAUAACACAUCUUUUCGGUUCCUUUUGGGUUACUCGCUUUUAGAAUGAUUAGCUUUCCUCCCCCGAAGUUAGGUGAGAUGGCAUUACUAGCCUGUUUUGUUUUGUAAGGGCCACACCCACCGGCACAGGGACAUUCCCAGGCUAGGGGCUGAAUGGGAGCUGUAGCCGCCAGCCUACACCACAGAAGCAGCAAGGCCGGUACCAGCCACCCCUGCGAACCACACACCACAGCCCAUGGCCACGCCAGAGCCUUAACCUCCUGAGCGAGGGCCGGGAUGGAACCUGUGUCCUCCUGGAUACUCGUCCGAUUCACUUCCACUGAGCCAUGACGGGAACUCCCAGGAAAGCCUCGAGUCACAUCAAAGAAAAGAGAGAGAACAAGAGCAUGGCUUUCUGGCACCUUGCUCAUUCAAUCAUGCCAUUCGUUUCCCUCCACCAACGCAUUUUUGAAAACUGCAUUUCCCCGAAAUGCACGAGCCCGUCUCAACAUCGAUUUGAUUCCAUUUCUCUGCGCUUCGAGUAGAAAAAUGAUCUGUCGCUGAGAACGUCCUUACGACCAUGUCAGCUGACAAGAAUGGAAAGCGUAGGAUUAGAGCCUUGUCGCCCAGGUCUUUGCCUUUCUGCAGGAGACGACACCUCCAGAGGUAACUUUGAAAGCCCUCUUGACAACUACAUUAAGUGUAGCAUCGCUGUGUGCAUGCAAAGCAUUAGACACCAUCACACUUGCAAAAGCCAGUACCCAGACAUACGUCAUCCACUUGCUCAGGCACUGUGGCAUCUUCGGAAAAGACUUUUUUGGGAGUGACACGUGUGUUUCACAUGAACUACGAAAGCAGUGCUUUCACUGGAAGACAACUUGUUUAAUCUGGCAUCAUCCAAAGCAUUUGCCAAACUGAGAGAUUUAACUUUGAUCCAUGACCAAGAUAGCAAUUGUUGUCAUUUUUUUUUUUCUCUUUAAGGUGGCACCCACAGCAUUUGGAAGUUCAGGUCCAGUGACUGAAUCUGAGCCGCAGCUAUAACCGACACCACUGCUGGGGCAACGCCACAUCCUUGAACUCAUUGUGUCCAGCCAGAGCUCAAACCCGCACCUCCACUGCAACACGAGCCACUGAAGUGAGGUUCCUAACCCACCGUACCACAGUGGGAACUCCUGAAAUAACAUGACUUCAUUUUAUUAGAUAUGUCUUCUGAGUCAGAAACUCCAUGCCUGGCAUUUGUCCUCUUCUUUUUACUAUCUGUUGUGGUUUCCUUAACAUUUACAUGACUCUUUGUAAAUUCACUUUUCAGGAGAACUUCAGGAUGAAAACGGUAACGUAUUUCUGAAUUUUUCUUUUCUUUUUUUUUCUGUUUUGGAGGGGUGGAUAUAUUUCCUAGGAAUAGUUAUUCUCUCUUGACUUUCCUUCCUUUGCUAUUGCUUCAAGUCACUGUCUUCCAGGCACUUACCACCCUCUCAUUACGAGGUUUGUUAAAUGAAGAGAAUCAGGCUAAGAAGAAUGCUCUUUGCUCCAUUCUGCAGGAAGCUUUCUUUUCCUGGGCCCUCCACCACGACAUCUAGAUGCAGUGCUCGCUGUGUUGUAUUUGACAUUGUCCCGGUUGUUACUGGAAUGGUUCCGAUUCCAACCCUGGUUGCAGGGAUGAGUUUCUCCUUUGAUUGCUCACACUCUGUCGACUGCCGAUGCCCUGCAGAAGUUAUCCUAAGACAGGCCAGUUCACGUCUGCCGAUCACACUCUCAAGGGACCCAGUGUAUAUGGAUAUCGUUGCCUGACUUGUCCUGGUUAUGUUCAGUUUACAACCACAGUUCUUACUCUUCAUUCAUUUUUAUUUUACCUAUUUCUUUAUUAUCUCACCAAGUUGACCGCCCUCUGGCAUCUUUGUGUGCACUUUUUCCCCUCAAGAAAUCACACUGAUCAUACAUAGCUGAAGUCCAAAGUUGUGUUCUGAGAUGAUGCCACACCUCUCUGUAA